GUGAAUCAUCGAAUUUUUGAACGCAAAUUGCACUCCCUGGUAUUACGGGGAGUAUGCCUGUUUGAGGGUAGUUAGAAUAAAAAAUCGAUGUGUCGCUCUUUUUUUUAAGGCUGAUCGGGUCGGAAUUGAGCCGUCUUUCAAAUGUUAAUUUAAGUCAAAGUGGCUUGAAAUUCAUCAAUUCGGUACGAUUGAUGUGUAUUUACGAUUAAUUUUGUUUGAGAACGUGCGAUGAAGUAGCAUCUCAUGUAGUAUGUUUGUACUG
rnacentral:misc_RNA from 1 species